rnacentral:rRNA from 1 species
ACGGAAGGCAGCAGUGAGGAAUAUUGGUCAAUGGGCGGAAGCCUGAACCAGCCAAGUCGCGUGAAGGAUGAAGGUAUUAUGUAUUGUAAACUUCUUUAGCAGUGGAGUAAUAAGGGGAUCGUGAUCCCUGAUGCAAGUACACUGAAAAUAAGGAUCGGCUAACUCCGUGCCAGCAGCCGCGGUAAUACGGAGGAUCCGAGCGUUAUCCGGAUUUAUUGGGUUUAAAGGGUGCGCAGGCGGCCCUGUAAGUCAGCGGUUAAAUCGUGGAGCUCAACUCCAUCCCGCCGUUGAUACUGCAGGGCUUGAUUGCGGUCGAGGUUGGCGGAAUUCGUCGUGUAGCGGUGAAAUGCAUAGAUAUGACGAAGAACACCGAUUGCGUAGGCAGCUGACCAGGCCGUAAAUGACGCUCAUGCACGAAAGCGUGGGGAUCGAACAGGAUUAGAUACCCUGGUA